GUGUGUAUAGCUCAGUGGCAGAGCAUGUGCUUAGCAUGCACAAGGUCUUGGGUUCAAUCCUCAGUAUCUCCA
rnacentral:tRNA from 1 species